CCCGCUCCCCCGCGCGCGCUCCGUCUGUUUUUCCCGAUUGCUUUCGCUCUCGCACUCUAAAAUAGGUCAAGGGGUGGAAGUUGCACCAGGUACGGCCCCCGGCUCUGAUGCAAAAGCGGCUUUCUCUCCCCCGGCUCCGGGAGAGCCUUGCAACUAUUCGGUUCCGUAGAGUCUCCCGCCCCCAUACCGUGCGGAAAGCGCCGGCGACCGUGGUGCUGACAAUGGUCUGCAGAGGGGAGCGGCGGCGAGCCUCUUUCCCACCCUAGUUCUGCCGGUCCUGCGCCCGCCUUCCCCCAGCACACCAGGAGGAGGGGGCGCGACAGGUCGCUUCGCGCGCUCGGGUCCCCGCGCCCGGGGUCUGACCGCCUAGGUAAAUGAGGAAGUGCUCUGAGAAGACUGGCAUGAAAGUACUAAGAUGCUGGGGAUUUAUUUAAGAACAGACUGGGGGCACAUGGGUGGCUCAUUCGGGCAAACUUGUAACCACUCAAGAAGGAAUUUAGAGUCUGCAUUGGAUCCCCUGGAGUGAAUCCCAUCUCUGAGCCAUUUCCUCAUCUGUGAAAUGGCCAUCAUGAGACUUCCCGACGUGGCUGUGAGAAGCAAAUGAAAUAAUUUGUAUAUAAUACUGAGUAUGCAGUCAGCACAUUGUGAGCAGUCUUACAAGGAGAAAUGUGUUGAGUUCAAUGUCAUCUCCUGGGGGCUCUGGAGGGGUUGCUGUGUAAUUGACCGUGGCACUGAAUAUUCAGGGGCCCCCAUAAUUAUUUCUCAGCCUUUAUAAUUAUGCUCUGGCUUUAACCUCAGGCCCCACAGUGUUGGCCUCAUUUGGAUAGUUCUGGAUCGUAUGGCCCUUGACCUUCUUCCUGUUCUUCAUGGUUAACCGUAGGUGUCAGAUGGACACAAACUGUUUCCUUCCUGCAGUUCUCCCCAGGCAGACCUGCUGCCUUGUGCACUGAAUGUCCUCAUCUCUGCCUUCUUCCCUGGACCAGGGAGGCUGCAGAUAAUAGAAAGUAUCCUAGCUACUGGAAGCCAACCGGGGUUUCACAUGGGAGUUAGGUGCUCACAAGAAGGCUGCAAGGAAAGGUUGCCACGGAAAGGAGAGACGAGGAUCCAGGCUGAGCUCUAGGGGUGACACCCAGGCAGCGCUGCUGAACUGGGCCCCCCGGGGGGCUGCUGCCAUCAUUGCCACCGUGUGGGGGCUGGGAAUCAGGGCCACCACCGGAACUGCUGACAAUCAAGAGCACAGUGACGAGAGAAGCUGCUACACUCCACCCGGGAAGCCAGUGACUGAGCACAGCUACCAACGACAAAAACAAACUAGCAACCCGGUAUGUGCCCAGAACCCUAACUGCAAGGAACUCUGGGAAAUGUAGUUUGCCCCUUCCCAGCCUCCCGGAAGAAUGCACCCUUGUAGGGGACGGGAAUGAACACGAAGGUGGAGUGACACCCCAUCGCGUCUUACGUAUAUCUAAAACGUUAUUUCCUCAGAGCCUUAGCCAGCAUAUUUCAUUCAAAGCAGGUAGAUGAUCUAUUGUAAGAAUCCAAAAAGGAUCCAGUGGCUUAACCAAUUUCCAUUUCAAACAGAUGGAUAUUAUAGUCAUUACAGUCGAAAUUGCUGGAAAAAGCAUCAAGCAAAUAAAUACCUAAAAAUUACCAAGCGCCUGCCUCUGCAUGUGGUUCUGUUUGAAAGUGAAAUAGUUUUCCUUUGUUUCGGUUUAGUAAUCAAAGUCAAAUACCGGGAGAAUUGAUUUCUAAAAAAAUUCUCCCCACCAAAGUCCCAGAUAGCCUACGUUUAAUGCAUGGCAGUACAAAGGAAGAAUGCCGUGUCUGAUAAGAGAAAUAGCUCCUGGCAGGCUGGGUCUUUCCUUAGAUGAAUUAUCUAUGUAUCCGUGUUUCUACCGAACCUUUCUUUAACCUAUAACUUGAAUGGUGCUUUUUUCUUUUUUUUUUUUUUUAAGGAUUACAAAGAUAGAAAUGACCUGUUAAUUGGAGAUUAAAAUAAGAGUAUUGACUCUAAUCACUUAUUUCAUACCCUGGUGCUUGUCAGAUUCUGUUUUUGCAAACCAUUAAAGUAAAUAUGAUUGAA